rnacentral:rRNA from 1 species
GAGUUUGAUCCUGGCUCAGAGUGAACGCUGGCGGCGUGCCUAAUACAUGCAAGUCGAACGAUGAAGCUUCUAGCUUGCUAGAGUGCUGAUUAGUGGCGCACGGGUGAGUAACGCAUAGGUUAUGUGCCUCUUAGUUUGGGAUAGCCAUUGGAAACGAUGAUUAAUACCAGAUACUCCCUACGGGGGAAAGAUUUAUCGCUAAGAGAUCAGCCUAUGUCCUAUCAGCUUGUUGGUAAGGUAAUGGCUUACCAAGGCUAUGACGGGUAUCCGGCCUGAGAGGGUGAACGGACACACUGGAACUGAGACACGGUCCAGACUCCUACGGGAGGCAGCAGUAGGGAAUAUUGCUCAAUGGGGGAAACCCUGAAGCAGCAACGCCGCGUGGAGGAUGAAGGUUUUAGGAUUGUAAACUCCUUUUGUUAGAGAAGAUAAUGACGGUAUCUAACGAAUAAGCACCGGCUAACUCCGUGCCAGCAGCCGCGGUAAUACGGAGGGUGCAAGCGUUACUCGGAAUCACUGGGCGUAAAGAGCGCGUAGGCGGGAUAGUCAGUCAGGUGUGAAAUCCUAUGGCUUAACCAUAGAAAUGCAUUUGAAACUACUAUUCUAGAGUGUGGGAGAGGUAGGUGGAAUUCUUGGUGUAGGGGUAAAAUCCGUAGAGAUCAAGAGGAAUACUCAUUGCGAAGGCGACCUGCUGGAACAUUACUGACGCUGAUUGCGCGAAAGCGUGGGGAGCAAACAGGAUUAGAUACCCUGGUAGUCCACGCCCUAAACGAUGGAUGCUAGUUGUUGGAGGGCUUAGUCUCUCCAGUAAUGCAGCUAACGCAUUAAGCAUCCCGCCUGGGGAGUACGGUCGCAAGAUUAAAACUCAAAGGAAUAGACGGGGACCCGCACAAGCGGUGGAGCAUGUGGUUUAAUUCGAAGAUACACGAAGAACCUUACCUAGGCUUGACAUUGAGAGAAUCCGCUAGAAAUAGUGGAGUGUCUGGCUUGCUAGACCUUGAAAACAGGUGCUGCACGGCUGUCGUCAGCUCGUGUCGUGAGAUGUUGGGUUAAGUCCCGCAACGAGCGCAACCCCCUUUCUUAGUUGCUAACAGGUCAUGCUGAGAACUCUAAGGAUACUGCCUCCGUAAGGAGGAGGAAGGUGGGGACGACGUCAAGUCAUCAUGGCCCUUACGCCUAGGGCUACACACGUGCUACAAUGGGGUGCACAAAGAGAAGCAAUACUGCGAAGUGGAGCCAAUCUUCAAAACACCUCUCAGUUCGGAUUGUAGGCUGCAACUCGCCUGCAUGAAGCUGGAAUCGCUAGUAAUCGCAAAUCAGCCAUGUUGCGGUGAAUACGUUCCCGGGUCUUGUACUCACCGCCCGUCACACCAUGGGAGUUGUGUUUGCCUUAAGUCAGGAUGCUAAAUUGGCUACUGCCCACGGCACACACAGCGACUGGGGUGAAGUCGUAACAAGGUAACCGUAGGUGAACCUGCGGUUGGAUCACC